GUGAGGAAUAUUGGUCAAUGGGCGGAAGCCUGAACCAGCCAAGUAGCGUGCAGGAUGACGGCCCUAUGGGUUGUAAACUGCUUUUAUACGGGGAUAAAGUCAGCCACGUGUGGUUGAUUGCAGGUACCGUAUGAAUAAGGACCGGCUAAUUCCGUGCCAGCAGCCGCGGUAAUACGGAAGGUCCGGGCGUUAUCCGGAUUUAUUGGGUUUAAAGGGAGCGCAGGCCGGAAGCAAAGCGUGCCGUGAAAUGUAGAUGCUCAACAUCUGAAUUGCGGCGCGAACUGGUUUUCUUGAGUGCAUACGAGGUAGGCGGAAUUUGUGGUGUAGCGGUGAAAUGCUUAGAUAUCACGAAGAACUCCGAUUGCGAAGGCAGCCUACCAGGAUGUAACUGACGCUAAAGCUCGAAAGUGCGGGUAUCGAACAGGAUUAGAAACCCUUGUAGUCC
rnacentral:rRNA from 1 species